UUUUUAGUUUUGAGAAUGAAAAUUAUUAAAAUAAGGCAAGUGUUUCUGAUUUUUUUCAAUUGGAGCUAGAAUAGGGAUGACAGAGAAAAGGUUGGAGUGAAAGAUAUGAAAGAGAAAUGGUUGAGAGGAAUGAGAGAGAUGGGUAAGGGUUUGGGGGUUUCUUUUUUUAUUUUUUUAAUUUUGAGAAUGAAAAUUAUUAAAAUACCCUUAACCUUACAACUUAGAAUUCAUGAUAUAUAUGAGUA
rnacentral:lncRNA from 1 species